UCAUUUACAUCCUAAAUUAGAAAAAGGAAAGUUUUUGUGGAAUUCAUGAUAACACGGACUUGAGCUUUCUCGAGGAAACCAGUUGGAGGGAGGUUUGAGCGCCCUUUUACUCAGAGAUGCUGACGAUGAUGAUACGGACUACAACUGCUGCCACUUCUUCUUCUUCUUAUUGCUGGAGCAGCAGAGGUAUGAAUUGUCUUCACUCUAACUCCACUUUUCUCGUUUUCGUCACCAAUUACUUUGCUUUCUUUCAUUCUCAACCUUCGAAACCGAUCAAAUCUACAAGAACCCAACUAGAGCAGCCAAAAAGAGACUUACCCAAAAUCACAAAUGUUGAGGAUGCUUUCAAUGUGUUCGAUAGAAUGCUUCAAAUGCGCCCUCUGCCUUCUGUUGUCCGUUUCAAUGAAAUCUUGGGUCAAGUUGCAAAAUUGAAACAUUACUCGGCCGUCAUCUCAUUGUGUAACCAAAUGGGUGUGUCGAGAAUUGGACAUGAUGUUUAUACCCUAACGAUUCUCAUAAAUUGUUAGUCAUCUAAACCAAAUGCGGUUUAGUUUAUCUGUAUUGGGAAAAUUCUUCAAACUUGGUCUUGAACCAGAUGUCUGUACCUUCACCACUCUAAUCAACGGCUUUCUUCUUGAGAAUAGAGUGGCGGAGGCGGCUGGAAUUUUCAACAAAAUGAUGAGGGGAGGUAAUUGUCAGCCUAAUGUGGUUACUUUUGGCACAAUAAUAAAGGGCUUUUGCAUGACAGGUAACAAUAGGCCUGCUGUUCAAUUGCUUACGAAGAUGGAGGAAGGAGCUUGCAAGCCUAACCUAGUUGUCUAUAACACAAUCAUCGACAGUCUUUGUAAGGAUAAACUAGUUGAUGAUGCAUUAAACCUCUUCUCAGAAAUGAUGUGCAAGGGUAUUGCUCCAGAUGUCAUUACCUAUACAUCCUUGAUUCAUGGAGUUUGCAAACUAGGUGAGUGGAAAGAAGCUACAAGGUUGUUGAAUGAAAUGGUGAGUAAAAACAUCUUUCCAAAUGUGUGCACGUUCAAUAUCUUGGUAGACACACUUUGUAAGGAGAGGAUGGUCUUGGAAGCAGAAGGUGUGGUAGAAAUGAUGAUUCAAAGAGGUAUUGAGCCUGAUACGGUUACGUACAAUUCUCUUAUGGAUGGUUACUGUUUGCGAGGAGAAAUGAGCAAGGCUAGAAAAGUUUGUAAACUAAUGCUUAGCAAGGGAAUCGAUGGUUGAUGUUGUUAGUUACAACACAUUGAUAAAUGGAUAUUGUAAGCAUAAGAUGAUGGAUGAGGCCAUGAGGCUACUUCGAGAAAUGACUUGUAAGGGACUGGUUCCAAAUGUCGUUACUUAUAGCACUCUUGUCGACGGUUGUUGCAAAGAGGGGAAAUUAGGUGAUGCACAACAGUUGUUCUCAGAGAUGCAAGCUUGUGGUCAACUUCCAGAUGUUCAAACUUAUGCUAUUCUACUGGAUGGCCUGUGUAAAAACCGACAACUUUCUACAGCAAUCCAACUGUUUAAAGAGAUGGAAGGCAAGAAGUUGGAUGCAGAUAUUGUGAUUUACACUAUUCUUAUUGAAGGUUUGUGCAUAGCUGAAAAAAUUGAAUCUGCAAGGGAACUCUUUUGUGGUUUAUCAUCAAGAGGGCUUCAACCAAAUGUAAGGACAUAUAACAUAAUGAUUAAUGGACUCUGUAUUGGGGGCCGAACAAGUGAAGCAGAAAAGCUGCUUAUCGAAAUGGAAGAGAAAGGUUGUUCUCCAGAUGGUUGGACCUACAACGUAAUUAUUCGAGGGUUUAUCAAUAACAAUGAGACAGUAAGGACGAUGGAACUUAUUCAACAAAUGGUGGAGAAGGGUUUCUCUGCAGAUGCUUCAACUACAAAAUUGAUAAUUGAUCUAUUGUGUAAAGAUAAAGUAGAUCCUGCAUUGUUGCCAUUGAUGCAAAAAGAGAAUUAUGAACUGAAUUUGCCUCAGUUAAAGUUGAACAGAUCUUCUGACCAUCCCAAUAAACAUUGAAGCUCUUCCACCUCUGG